rnacentral:rRNA from 1 species
AUUGAACGCUGGCGGCAUGCCUUACACAUGCAAGUCGAACGGUAACAGGUCUUCGGAUGCUGACGAGUGGCGAACGGGUGAGUAAUACAUCGGAACGUGCCCAGACGUGGGGGAUAACGAGGCGAAAGCUUUGCUAAUACCGCAUACGAUCUAAGGAUGAAAGCAGGGGACCGCAAGGCCUUGCGCGUUUGGAGCGGCCGAUGGCAGAUUAGGUAGUUGGUGGGAUAAAAGCUUACCAAGCCGACGAUCUGUAGCUGGUCUGAGAGGACGACCAGCCACACUGGGACUGAGACACGGCCCAGACUCCUACGGGAGGCAGCAGUGGGGAAUUUUGGACAAUGGGCGAAAGCCUGAUCCAGCAAUGCCGCGUGCAGGAUGAAGGCCUUCGGGUUGUAAACUGCUUUUGUACGGAACGAAAAGGCUCUGGCUAAUGCCUGGGGCACAUGACGGUACCGUAAGAAUAAGCACCGGCUAACUACGUG